ensembl:lncRNA
CAUGCAUAGCCACCCUCCUAAACAAGAAGGAAUCUGCUCACCAACUUCUAGAAGAGAGUGCUCACCAUGCGGAGGAUCUCAAGACUGGCUGCAGAGACUACUGGAGGAGACGAAGAGACCAAACACAUGAUUUGCACAGCACAGCAGCUCGGAGCUCAAAGGGUGCACAGGGGCUCUGCCACUCAUUUAUCUGCAAGGUUAUCCUGCCAUACGAAAGUCAUUCACAUCCUCAGCAUUCCAGAGCUAGGGAGGCAUGCUCACACGGGAUAAAUAUAGAUCCUGACACCUGAGCCAAGUGCAAUGAAAGUUAACUGGAAAAGUCUCCCUGGUGUGUGCCUGGGUGGAGGAAAAUACCACCCCUGGUCCUCUGCUUGCUGAGACCUGGGUGCCCCUUCAGAGACAGUUGCUGUGCUAAUGGAACAGGGGCAUUCUGGAGAUCAAACACUAAUAACCACCUUGCUUCUCCUCAUGAUUACUGUUUGUUCUGAGAGUAGACAUGGCUCAGGUUCCCCUUCCUGCUGACCUGGAUAAGCAGCAUGAGAGUGAAAGUAUUAUUUAGACAACAAACAGGUUUCUGCUUUUCUCAUGUUUACAGGAAAGAAAACAGAAACUCAAAGGAUGAUACUGAUCCGGAACAUGUGACUCAUUAGUAGUCCAUGGGCGAGUGUAACCACAAAGUGAUAACUUGCAAGUGAGCUUUCUGUUCUGUCCUUCCGCGGUUACAGAUUAAAAACAAAUUACAUCGGCCCUUAGAUGUGCCAGACUCACCGCUCCACGAGCAUUCCCAAAGCUUCUCUUUUUAUCUCUUGUUUAAACAAAGUUAGGUAUCCCAAGGGAAUAUUGCUAUGACAUCCAGAAACUCCCCAAAGCACUGCGUCCCUAAGGCGAAGACAGAGAUGUAAGCCACGGUGCUGGCAGAGACACUUCUCGUGGACUUACGCAUUGAAACCCUUCUCGCCCAUUGCAGAGGCGGAGUUUGACCCUCCGCACCCGAGCCUGGAACAUCAGUCCUGAUACCACGACUCCUCUCAGACAGUAGGAAGCCUGACAUGGGAGAGGGACAGAGAGCAAGGACUGCGGUCUGCUGCUCAGGACCAGGAGGAGUCCUCCACGAGAGGUAGAUGCCGAUUUCCAUGGGCAGAUGCCACAGGUUUCCAAACAUCACAGAACGAGACUCUUCAUUAUAGAGCAAAAUAUUUCAUGCGUGUAAAACUUUCCUGUUACUUGAACUAAAAACUUGUAAAAAGAAAAAAUAGUCUUAGCAAGAAAGCAGAAGACAAAUGUUAAAAAUGCAGUGAGCCUAUGUGUGCAGUGACUAUCACAGAAAGCCUCUGACAUCCUAGGUGCUAUUGUGUCUAAAUAUGGACUUUGUCCUACGAGUCAGAUUAGGACAUUCUGAAUUUCCUUUCCUGAAUUAUGUGUGCAUUAUCAUUAAAGGCUUCAUUCCUUGCUGAGCGUCAACUCAUGAGGGGCACGGGAUGGUGGAGGAACAGCAGCUGUGUCUGUUCUGAGCCCCUGGACAGGGCCUCCGACCUCUCCCCACCCAGGGAUCCUCAGACAUCCUCUUCACCAGCUUUCUUCAAAACUGGACAUGUCCUACAGGAUAGCAAUUAAGCUGAAGACUGGUUUUCCCUGACUGGUUGCCUUUUUAGGGAACCUCAAGUUUCGAAGGUGGCAGCACCAAGACUUGCCUGGCCUUUGCUGUGCAUUGAGCAGUGAAACGGAAGCCGUGAGCCUUGGACUCGAGCUGCUGACAGAGCAGCCCUCAUGGGAUGUGGCUGUGGAAUUUCCCAUUUCUGUGUGAGAAUCUUUCCUCAGAAGAGCGGUGAGACCCAGCUGUACGUGUGCACAGUCACGUGGCUACAGGGGAAGCAGCACUCACUUGCUCUCCCCUCAGGUCUGCCAGGUGCUGCCCUCUGUCAGCUAGAUGUCUGUCUUCCUCCUCCAGGUGCCCAUCAGGAAGUAUUGGUGGCUUUUGCUUCAGCUUUCAAUAUGUUGUGCUGAAUUUGUUCAGAACAUUUAAAUUCAUAAAAAUCCUUUGGGAGAAAUUAAAAUUUUUAAGUAAAGAUUCACCCCUUAUGUGUCUGUCCCUGCCCAUUGUGUAGGGGUUAGCAAUGGAUGGUUCCUGAAGCUUGGCUGUGGGACAUAGGAGGAGAGAAUAUGAGAUUUUCUAAGGAAAAUUUGGCACGCACCCCCUCCACCCCACUUGAAAAUAAUGAGUAAGAGUCACUGAAAUUCUCACACAUUAACCUUACUCAUGUGUGCUUGAGAAAAACACCUAUGAGAGAAGCAGCCUUGUCUAUUAACAACUUGAUUCAGCUGUGUAUUCAGGCCUGAAAGGCAUUUGGGCACCAUGUGUGACUGAUUACAUCAGCUCACUCUUCCUUCAGGGUUUUCUGUUGGUUUCCAUGUCACUGUGGAAUGAUUGCACCCAAAGACAUCCUUCCGAAGGGCCACUUACAGGACACCUGUGACAGAGGUUUAAUAUUAAACUUGUCUGCAUAACUCAUUGUGUGAAAUCUCCUUAUUUUAACAACAGUUUAAGGUGAAGUUUUUUAUCAUUGCUUCUCAAAACUGACUUCAAAAUACUGUUGUUUAAAAAAAAGUACUAAGAGUACUGUUGUGUUUGCCCCACACAAAUGAUAACCAUGUGAGGUAGUGCAUGUGCUAAUUAGCGAGAUGUAGCCAUUCUACAAUAUGUAUGUACUGUACUUCAAAACAUCACUUAGCAUAUGAUAAAUACCUAUAAUUUUAUCUGUCGAUUUAGAAAGGUAAAAUAACACUUUAUAGGUUUGAAGCAUUUCUUUAGAGGAGAGUGCUUACUAUAUGCUUGCUAUUCAACAGUACUCAGCUUGAAGGAAAGGCCCAUUAUCGAUUAGUGCUAUUACAUUUGAAGCCUAAAAUUAUGGCUAAGAUUCAUACCCUUUUAAUUGUAAAAGCCUUACAACGAUUUGCACAAAACCUUAUCAUGCCAAAGCAACAUUCUUCCUGGUGAAGAUUAUUUAAUCAUUUACUUAAUAGCAAGAUAUAGUGAGAUUCUGUUCUUGGGUCCAUAUCAUGCUAAUUGUGGGGGAAAUAAAACACGAUCAGCCAAAGUGUAUUUUCUGGAAAAUCUUACUAUUUAGUGAGGGGGGACAAGCUGAAUUGCAAUGUGAUGAGCUAAGCUGAGAGCCCAGAGAGCAUUCACACACACACACACACACACAUGCAUGUCUGUGUAUGUGUGUAUGAAUGUGUAUAUGCACAUGUGUGCGUGUAAUGUACACAUAUUCUGUGCUUGUGUGUGUGAGAGAGUGUGCACACAGUAAAUGAGCUGAUACCCAUAAAUAGGAAGGUUUUAACUGGAAAAGAAUUAGGAAAGUAUUCAAAGACAAGGGCUCAGCAAAGGCACUGGGUGCACCGUGGAAACAUGGAGGAUUUGAGGAACUCGAGGCAGAAAGUCAAAGGCCAGGGGACAGGGGGGCAGUGGCUACAGAAGAGUAGUGAGAGAUGACGCAGGAAUGAGUGAAGAAAUGGGAGCAACCCUGCUGAAUGGAAUGCGGCCUGGCUUGAAACAGCAAAAAUGGAGGGGAGAAAGCAUGAACUUAAGCAAUAUUUAG